CCAGCCCUGACCCUUAGGUCUUAGGAAGAACACUCAGCCAUUAGACCUCAGGCCCCAUGCCCUGACCCCAGGCAGAAAGCCAUGUCCUGCAUCCAGGGAUCCAGAAGAGUCCAAAGAACAUAGAAGGAAUGCUGAUCACAGCUCCGGAUCUAGAGGAACAAUGACUAUAAUUAGCUUCAUCUGCCCGUCAAGCAAGGAAUGUCUCUGAAGCCAUGUGCUGAUGACCAGGCAGAGAGGCUGGCAGAGAGCUGGGAUGGAAGUGCUGUGUGUUGAAUUUCCAAGUUCCUGAAGGAAGCCUCACGCCUCGUAGUGACAGUAAGAUGGUGACAUACAAAAGUCAGCUGGGAUCACUGUCGGAGGAUCUGUAAGGUCCUUUUCAGUAAAUGAGAAAACACAGGUGAAGCUGCGAGUCCAGUGCUUGGCAUGGAAUAGAAACUCAACAAGU
rnacentral:lncRNA from 1 species